AAUAAGUGUAGCCAUGAGUUUCCGUGUCCAACUUUAAUCGUCCGUCUUAUUUAUUUUUUUUUAAAAAAUAAGUCUCGCAUAAAGUACUAUUCAUAUUUUAUAAUCUAAUAAUAAAAAAAAUAUUAAUCAUGAAACAUUUUAAAUAAAACGGAUGAUCAAAAUUGGACAUGGAAACUCAUGGCUGCGUUUAUU
rfam:Oryza glaberrima chromosome 11 Oglab11_0313_4, whole genome shotgun sequence.